rnacentral:rRNA from 1 species
UACGUAGGGGGCAAGCGUUGUCCGGAUUUAUUGGGCGUAAAGAGCGUGUAGGCGGCCCGGUAAGUCCGCUGUGAAAGUCCAGGGCUCAACCCUGGAAAGCCGGUGGAAACUGUCGAGCUAGAGUCCGGAAGAGGCGAGUGGAAUUCCUGGUGUAGCGGUGAAAUGCGCAGAUAUCAGGAGGAACACCAAUGGCGAAGGCAGCUCGCUGGGACGGUACUGACGCUGAGACGCGAAAGCGUGGGGAGCAAACAGG